GCGGAGAUGGCGGAAUUGGUAGACGCACCAGACUUAGGAUCUGGUUCCCGUAGGGAGUGGGGGUUCAAGUCCCCUUCUUCGCACCA
rnacentral:tRNA from 1 species